GACGAACGCUGGCGGCAUGCCUAACACAUGCAAGUCGAGCGAGUAGAUCCCUUCGGGGUGAAGCUAGCGGCGGACGGGUGAGUAACACGUGGGCAACCUGCCUCAUAGAGGGGAAUAGCCUUCCGAACGGAAGAUUAAUACCGCAUAAGAUUGUAGUACCGCAUGGUAUAGCAAUUAAAGGAGCAAUCCGCUAUGAGAUGGGCCCGCGGCGCAUUAGCUAGUUGGUGAGGUAACGGCUCACCAAGGCGACGAUGCGUAGCCGACCUGAGAGGGUGAUCGGCCACAUUGGGACUGAGACACGGCCCAGACUCCUACGGGAGGCAGCAGUGGGGAAUAUUGCACAAUGGGGGAAACCCUGAUGCAGCAAUGCCGCGUGAGUGAUGACGGCCUUCGGGUUGUAAAGCUCUGUCUUCGGGGACGAUAAUGACGGUACCCGAGGAGGAAGCCACGGCUAACUACGUGCCAGCCGCCGCCGUAA
rnacentral:rRNA from 1 species